ensembl:lncRNA
CAAUGGAAAAGCAAGAGGUUUAUUUUUCAUCACUUCAGGGUCAACCUUCAAUUAGUCCCUCAAGCAAGUGCAGACAGAGCUCAGCAGUUUGCAGUCCUCUGGUGAUCCCUGGAUGGAGUUUGCCAGCCACUUGAGAAUCUGCUGAGAUAUCAUAGACUCCCAGGGGCACAAGGUAUAAUUUCCUAGUAAUUGGAGAAGGAACAAUUGUGGGUCAAAAUCUGCAGGUGGAUUGGUGUCCCCAUCCCUCCACUGGUGACCCUGUCUGACUACUAGAGGUGAGCACUUCCGGUCCCAUCUCCUCACUGGUGGGCAUUUGGGCCAAGGUCUCUCACAUCUCAGAUCUCUAGGACUUUCUAGGGGUUACCACCUUCCAUGAUGGCAUACCCCCCUCUCCCCGAGUGCCUCAACUCCCAUCACCCACCCCUGAGAACAGCAUGUUUCUAUUCAUUCUCCUGGCCCUCUGGGCUUCUCUCUCCUGUCUUCCCCCCAAUGUCUGAUCCUGUUCUCCCUUUUCCCUUCUCCCUCCCCUCUGCCACUCAGGUCCCUCCCUCCCUCUGCCUCCCAUGAUUAUUUUGUUCCCCCUUGUAAGUGAGAUUGAAGCACCCUCACUUGGGAGUUCCUUCUUGUUUAACUCUUCAGACUGUGGGAUGUAUCAUGAGUCUUCUGUACAUUUUGGCUGAUAUCCAUUUUUCAGUCAAG